GGGAAUGUAGCUUAGUGGUAGAGUGCUUGCCUAGCAUGCAUGAAGCCCUGGGUUCCAUCCUCAGUACCA
rnacentral:tRNA from 1 species